GAUGAAGAACGCAGCGAAAUGCGAUAAGUAGUGUGAAUUGCAGAAGUACCGUGAAUCAUCGAAUCUUUGAACGCAAAUUGCACUCUCUGGUAUUCCGGGGAGUAUGCCUGUUUGAGGGUCGCUUAACAAACCAUCGAUUUCGUUGCUUUUUUUUUUAAAAAGUGAUGUUUAUCGGAUUUGAGCCGUCUUUUUUUUUUUAUAUUUAAGUGGCUUAAAAUUGAUUUUUUUGGUACGAUCGAAGCGUAUUUUUAUGAUCAAUUUUUGGUUAAAGAAACGCACACGUACCGUUAUUUAUAUGAUGUAAUACGUUUGACUAUUGGAUUUAGUUCAUUCGUAUACGAUAUCUUUCAAUAUUUGACCUCAAAUCAGGUAAGAACACCCGCUGAACUUAAGCAUAUCAAUAAGCGGAGGA
rnacentral:misc_RNA from 1 species